rnacentral:lncRNA from 1 species
UGGCGUCCGCCCCUUGGCGUGAUUGGGUGGCGUUGGCUUGGCCUCCUCUCAUUGGCCCCGGGUGCGGCUCAGCUGUGGUUGGGACAGGCCCGGGGCGAGGUGGGGACGUGUGAGGAGAGGUUGGACCGAGCUCAGUUGGCCUUAGCCUGGUCCCUCCUCCGGCCUCUUCUGAUUGGCCUGGGCGGGGAUUGGUUCGAGCUGCUCAAGACCUGGGUUGACCAUUGGUUAGUUGGGUUGGCCCAGGCUUGGUUUGGCCUUGUCUCAGUGGCCCAUCGCAGAUCUCAGUUGGCUAUUGGUCCAGACGUGAGGUUGGUCAUCACUGCCUGGGUUGACGUAGGCCGGGAUUGGCCUGUUCCAGCUGGCCUAGGCAGGGAUUGGGUCAAGUUGGUCAAGGCCCGACUUGACCAUUGGUUCGUUGGGACCAGCCUUUGGUUGGUGCCUUCUCAUUGGCCUGUUGUAGACCUGCGUUGGCCAUUGGUGGCCGGAUUGGCCUGUUAAGACCUGAGCUGAGUUGGUCGAGACCGGAUUGGGCCAUUGGGGAGCGGCUUGAUCCGGAUCCAGGCUUGACCAUUGGUGGCCGCCUUGGGGCGGGCCUGGAUUGGCCUCUUCCGGUUGGUGGAGAGGUGUUUGGCCUUCGGUUGCUUCAAUCAAGACAGCGAUUGGCUGGUGGUGGCUGCAUUGGUUUUGGCUUUGGUCGACCUCUCCUAGUUGGGUUCUUCCAGGCUUUGCUCGGCCGUGGUGAUUGGCUCGGCCCAGAGCUCGGCCUCUUCCGAUUGGCCCCUUCAAGACUUGGCUUAUGGUUGCGUUUCCAUCUUCCCGCUUGGGUCCCUGAAGACCUGGAGUGACUGUUGGUGAUUGGCUGGGUGCCGAUCAACCAGGCGUUCUCCGAUUGGCCUGUUCCCCACCGAGGUUGCCCAUUGGUGGAUCAGCCUCUUCCCGUUGGGUUGACGUUGACCGUUGGGAGGUGGUUUGAGCCCGACCCAGUCAAGGCCGAGUUGCCCCCGGUCUCCUCCACCUCCUUCCUCCCAGGGCUCCGCCCACAGGCGUCAGGUGACCCCGACACCCCCCCACCCGGGUCCCCAACUCCUCCCGCCCUCGGGGACCCGGCGGGGACAAGGCUCCGCUGUCACCCUGUCGCUCCGCUGCUUGGGUCCCGCUUUGGUGGGCGGAGUUAAGGUGAYGGGGGGCUUGCCGGAGCCGGGGAGACCCUGGGGGUGGCCAGAGGUGAGGUGAUGGCCGCUGUCCCCCUCGCCCGCUUCCUGCUGUUACGCGAUGUCCCCACGGUGCCACCUUCUCCG